GAUGAACGCUGGCGGCGUGCUUAACACAUGCAAGUCGAACGGGAAUUCUUUUAUUGAAACUUCGGUCGACUUAAUUUAAUUCUAGUGGCGGACGGGUGAGUAACGCGUGGGUAACCUGCCUUAUACAGGGGGAUAACAGUCAGAAAUGGCUGCUAAUACCGCAUAAGCGCACAGAGCUGCAUGGCUCAGUGUGAAAAACUCCGGUGGUAUAAGAUGGACCCGCGUUGGAUUAGCUGGUUGGUGGGGUAACGGCCCACCAAGGCGACGAUCCAUAGCCGGCCUGAGAGGGUGAACGGCCACAUUGGGACUGAGACACGGCCCAGACUCCUACGGGAGGCAGCAGUGGGGAAUAUUGCACAAUGGGGGAAACCCUGAUGCAGCGACGCCGCGUGAAGGAAGAAGUAUCUCGGUAUGUAAACUUCUAUCAGCAGGGAAGAUAGUGACGGUACCUGACUAAGAAGCCCCGGCUAACUACGUG
rnacentral:rRNA from 1 species